AAAGGGAAUGGGGACUUGCCAGGCAGCAGCUGCCCCCUCCUCCCUACUGCCCAGUUGGCUUAGUCCAGUUGUGGGAGGCUGUGGGGCAGGCAGUCCCCAGCGUACAGCCCAUGAAGUGACUUACAAAGCAAGGAAGGCUGAGCCAGCUGGAGGAGGCAGGUGGGAGCCUAGAAACUGAAGAGGCCUCAUGGAUAAAAGCCUGGCACAGAGAGAUAGCUGUCUGCUGACAACUCCUCCACAUCUGUAACAGAGGUUUGGGACAUCCUGGUGGGGAAGACCUGGAUCUAAUGCUCCUGCUACCAAUGCUCAAAGCAAGUCAUCCCAGGAACGCAGGAGAGAAACACAUCUUAUUCCCAGCAGAGCUGGCAACAUUCACCCUCUAAGGGGCUGGAUGCCAAUUCCCAAAUGCCAGCAGGUUCCAGACAACUUGAAGCACAUGUUCUGUAAAAGAACAAGGCCUGUGUAUCUAAUAAAUGACACGGAAGGCAGA